GACGAACGCUGGCGGCGUGCCUAAUACAUGCAAGUAGAACGCUGAAGGAGGAGCUUGCUUCUCUGGAUGAGUUGCGAACGGGUGAGUAACGCGUAGGUAACCUGCCUGGUAGCGGGGGAUAACUAUUGGAAACGAUAGCUAAUACCGCAUAAUAGCAGUUGUUGCAUGACAACUGUUUGAAAGGUGCAAUUGCACCACUACCAGAUGGACCUGCGUUGUAUUAGCUAGUUGGUGGGGUAAAGGCUCACCAAGGCGACGAUACAUAGCCGACCUGAGAGGGUGAUCGGCCACACUGGGACUGAGACACGGCCCAGACUCCUACGGGAGGCAGCAGUAGGGAAUCUUCGGCAAUGGACGGAAGUCUGACCGAGCAACGCCGCGUGAGUGAAGAAGGUUUUCGGAUCGUAAAGCUCUGUUGUAAGAGAAGAACGAGUGUGAGAGUGGAAAGUUCACACUGUGACGGUAUCUUACCAGAAAGAGACGGCUAACUACGUG
rnacentral:rRNA from 1 species